AAUGGUUUGGCAGUGAGCGAUUCUUGUUAGGGGAAGAUGCGUAGUAAAGGAUGGUCCACCUAUUAUUUUACUCUUGUUAUGUUGGUGUAUAUCUGGUUUGAUAUUAUCGUUUAAUGGUUUGAGUUUGUGUAGUUUUAGUUAAGCCAAGUCUAUGUGCUGCUUAUGGGAGUUUUUGUGUGUUACAUUAAUAAGGGUGUUGUUGUAAUAUGAUAUUAUUUAGGACUUA
rnacentral:rRNA from 1 species